GAUUAAAGUCUUUUUUUCUGAUUUUAAUAGGACAGAGAGAAAUCACCUGUCAGUCAAAUGGAGAAUGGAGCAGCCCUUUAUAUAAAUGUGAAGAAACAAAAUGUGUUGCAAAACUCACAGAGAACAUGAGAUCAGACGAACACCCGGGGUCUCAAUCUGAGGUCUCAAUCAGACCAGGACACACAAUAACUCUUUCAUAUGUUGGGAGUGGAUCUACAUUACAAGGACCUGUCAGGCAAGUGGAGAAUGGAGCAGCCCUUUUCCUAAAUGUGAAGGGGGUGGAGCAGAGUCCUGUUUGGUGGGUCAGAGGAAAGGGGAUGGUUGCUUUCAGCUACAUUACACAGACUUCAAAGAUUCAUAUCACCACCGCUCUCGAGACUGAUCAUGAAUACAUCUUUUGGAAAACAGCUUAAAAUGAAAUACUGUAAGAU